AGGGACAGAAUUGAAAGACAAAGAUCACGCAUUCAGAAUGGCCGAAUUCUCACUGGAUGAGAGAGAGAUGAGGAAAGGGAGGAGAGAGGGAUGUGGACAUGUGACGUUUCAUCGAGGCUGCGUGGCAAGUCAAGCUUGGUGAAUUGGAGCUGAAAUAACUUUGAGUAGCAUCAGAAGGAUGACGGGCAUCAUCGCUUUGGAAAACCUGCCUAUGGUUUACAUGCUGGACCUGUGAUGCUGCUGGUUGGUACAAGACAGCUACACAACAAGUGUGCUUCACACGUCAGAGGUGAAUAUGACUGCGGCUCACUGAGAAAUCACAUACUUCCUCCAAACACAAAACAUCCUGUUGCGCUGGAGAGCCGGUCCACCAACAAGGAAGACAAAGGAAAACACAAAGUACCAACUCAGCAUCAAUGAUGGGUACAGUCUUCCUGGGUCUUGGUCUGUUGUGGAGAUGGUCAGGACUGUUGGAUGGAUUCUGGACAUCAGAUGAAGCCAGCUUUGAACAGAAUCCUCUGGUGUGUACUUCCUCUCGGCACAGGAAAUGACCUCGCCGCGUGUCUGUGCUAGCCGCUAGGGUACAGUUUGGCCCGUUGGAGCCAAACCUUGAAACAUGCCAUGUAUGAUCCUGGGGUUGUAGGCUAUGAAGGAAAAACGAUUUUGAAGAUUCUAAGGGCAAUGAAAACAGCAUUAAUGUGAUGUUAGACAAACAAAGGAUGUUAGUCGUCUUCGCACCAGACAAACUCUUUAUUGGCAAGGCCUCCGUUGCUCGUGCAUGGGAUCCACAUUAUAUAGAGAGAAACAUCCAGAAAAGGUGUGUCUCUGAGACUUCUGCCAUUAAGUCAUACCGAAAAUUAGAGAAAGGUGGGUCUAAAAUAUGAUACUGAACUGAAAAAUAUAUCUUCUGCAGAACACAUUUAGAAGAUAAC